GACUCUCGGCAAUGGAUAUCUCGGCUCUCGCAUCGACGAGGAACCUAGCGAAAUGUGAUACCUGGUGUGAAUUGCAGAAUGCUGCGAACCAUUGAGUCUCUGAAAGCAAGUUGCGCCCGAGGCCACUCGACUGAGGGCACGCUUGCCUGGGCGUCA
rfam:Triticum aestivum genome assembly, contig: Triticum_aestivum_CS42_TGACv1_scaffold_513615_6BS